rnacentral:rRNA from 1 species
CCUACGGGAUGCAGCAGUGAGGAAUAUUGGUCAAUGGACGAGAGUCUGAACCAGCCAAGUAGCGUGAAGGAUGACUGCCCUAUGGGUUGUAAACUUCUUUUAUAUGGGAAUAAAACGUUCCACGUGUGGGAUUUUGUAUGUACCAUAUGAAUAAGGAUCGGCUAACUCCGUGCCAGCAGCCGCGGUAAUACGGAGGAUCCGAGCGUUAUCCGGAUUUAUUGGGUUUAAAGGGAGCGUAGGUGGAUUGUUAAGUCAGUUGUGAAAGUUUGCGGGUCAACCGUAAAAUUGCAGUUGAAACUGGAAGUCUUGAGUACAGUAGAGGUGGGCGGAAUUCGUGGUGUAGCGGUGAAAUGCUUAGAUAUCACGAAGAACGCCGAUUGCGAAGGCAGUUCACUGGACUGCAACUGACACUGAGGCUCGAAAGUGUGGGUAUCAAACAGGAUUAGAUACCCUUGUAGUC